rnacentral:rRNA from 1 species
AUUGAACGCUGGCGGCAGGCUUAACACAUGCAAGUCGAGCGGUAGCACAGGGGAGCUUGCUCCCUGGGUGACGAGCGGCGGACGGGUGAGUAAUGUCUGGGAAACUGCCUGAUGGAGGGGGAUAACUACUGGAAACGGUAGCUAAUACCGCAUAACGUCGCAAGCCCAAAGAGGGGGACCUUCGGGCCUCUUGCCAUCAGAUGUGCCCAGAUGGGAUUAGCUAGUAGGUGGGGUAAUGGCUCACCUAGGCGACGAUCCCUCGCUGGUCUGAGAGGAUGACCAGCCACACUGGAACUGAGACACGGUCCAGACUCCUACGGGAGGCAGCAGUGGGGAAUAUUGCACAAUGGGCGCAAGCCUGAUGCAGCCAUGCCGCGUGUGUGAAGAAGGCCUUCGGGUUGUAAAGCACUUUCAGCGAGGAGGAAGGUGGUGAGCUUAAUACGUUCAUCAAUUGACGUUACUCGCAGAAGAAGCACCGGCUAACUCCGUG